ensembl:lncRNA
AAUGGUGUGGGAUGAAGUAGGUAGGAGACAGCUUUUGCUGUAGCACGAGGUGAAGCGGGAUUGCAUUAAGAAAAACUUUCUCUGCAUUCACAAGACUCCAGAGCCAUCCCAGAGCAGUAAGGAAGCAGCACUCUGCUGUCUGUGGGACAAUACCUGAAAAGUGAUGCCCUCUGAGUGCUCAAAUAGGAUAGAAAGAAGUGGUGUAUUCAGUGUAACACAAGGAAGAGAUGCUAUCCAAAAGGACCUGGAUGAGCUUGAGAAGUGAACCCAUACAAACAUAAUGAGUUCCAACAAAGCUCGUACUGUGCAGGCUGAAAGGAUUUGAGAGGGCUCAGUCAGACGCUGUACUCAAACCUCUCCGCAUCAAGAGGCAGAAAGAAUCCCCUGCAGCUGGGAAGGGGGGGAAGACUGAAUUACUUCACAGAUAAUCAUGGCGAAUGAAGGCUGGAUUGAAGUGGAGUGCUCUUUGUUCCAAUAUGAAAACUCUUUCAGAGCAGCUGUUCCGUCCUCAUACAGCCCUCAGCACUGUCAGUGUGUGAGUGAUUUUUGCCAGAGCAUUGAGACCAACAUGGAUCUCAUGAGUGCUGUCCAUCCUUCCAUGAGGAGAAGAUGGGAUGUUCAUAGUCAGGCUGCACUGUCUGCUUUCCAUGAGCAUAUGUCUCUGAACUACUUAAGUAACCAUCCACAGAAUGCAUGAGAAAAGAGACUGUUUAUGCAUACUGGGAAGUGAAGAAAAGAGUCUGGCCAUCCUGCCUGCCUUCUUCUGAUGCAAAUAAAUAAUUUAUCUGAGGCAAAUAAUGUGGUACUGUGACAGUAGCCAUGCCUCCAUUCCCAUUCUUUGAAGAGCUGUCCUCACAGAGCAGUGUUGGAAAAUGAUCAAUACUACAGCAUAUGCAGAUUAGGGCAUGUUUGCCUUAUGAUUUCUCUCUUCUAAAGGGGAUUCCUGUUAUUAUCAAUGUAGUAAACCACAUGGGGCUCAUGGAAGUCUUUUACUGUUCGAUUAAACCUUACAUAGUUUAUGAACUUGUCCUCCAAAAUCACAGAAUCACAGAACUGCAGGGGCUGGAAGGGACCUCCGGAGAUCAUUGAGCCCAACCCAACAGGGCAGAAAACUCUCCUAGAUGGAGAAAACUCCUAUGUGGUGUUAGAAAGUGGCGUUCCUUUAUUCCUCACAAUAUGUACCUGGCAACGUGACAAACAAGUGCAAACUCUGAGUUCAGGUUCUACGUUUAAACAAUUAAGGCAUACAUAUGUAGUAUAUUGGCAUAUAUAUUCAUUCCUUUUCAAGGACUCAUUAAUAUAUGCUAUUGUCCCUUUGGGCAUGCUCUGUAGUAUCUAGGGUUGUCAGAUGCCCACCUACUUCAUCUCCAUUUUCCAUCAUCAGCUUCAUCACUGAGACAUUUGACUCACUUUCAGCUGCUUUUCCCCAAUUUGGAACAUUUCCAUUGCUUAUUGGGCCAUAGUGGGCCACUUCUAAAACAAUUUAUGUGGAAUCUGAGGAAGAUGUCCCUGCACAUAUUGGGUGAAAAAGAUGAAAGUAUUCUGUUAUGUUCCCAGU